CUUGUGGCGGCUGUGAACAGUAUCUCUUUACAAUGUGGAUUCAUUGAACCUCUGAACAAACAGCUGCAUAUUUACACAGACAGCAGAUGUGGAGCGACAUUAGCAUUCAUUCUGAGUAGUUGUUGUGUGUGCCUGAUGAUUAAUUCCUGAUGCUCUUAUCCGGGGCAUCUUCAAACGAAUGAGCAGGAAAGACUCUGAGUGACUCGCUCAAGGACAUGCAGACUGUGCAGCCACCUUAAUAUUCUGGUCAACACUGAGUGAUCAUAUCACUUGCAGGGCGAAGAGGAACUUGUUUCGUCUUGUUGGCAGAUUAACAGUGAGCAGUCGGUUCUUCCAUCCUGACAAGAUUGUGGAGCAGGAUUAAAUCCUGCAGAGUCCAGGACUCCUGCCAGUCAGUCAGGGUUCGGGUUUGUUUGCGGCUGGCCUGGUUGGACUCGGCCUCAAUGAGCUGAGCUGAAACGGGAGGCCAACAGGUCGUGAGUAACUCGUGGCAU